AUUCACACCAGGGCAAGAACUACCUGUCAUGCUGAGAAUGUUUCUAAUUUUCUAGCUUCACCAGCACCUUACAGAAUUGCAGAAAUAUGAAUUUUCCUCAUCUCCUGUGUAAUGGGUGCUUGAUUGAACUGGUUUAGUACUUGCCUAGUUAAAUAAAGGUUAAAUAAAAUAAAAAAGUAGGUGGACCUUUUUUUUAUACCCAGCAGCUUAAAUUGGCAAACAAUUUGAUCAGAAUUGGUAGAGCUAAACUUCCUAUACUUGUUGAGAUGGCUCGGGCUCUCCCGCAGGGGGCGCCAUUCUGAAAUAGUAUUUUUCAGAGAGAAGCAUCUGGUCGCGGUAGCGAGGGGUGGCGAUAUCUAAAGUGCUGUGGCCACCCCCUGCCUGGCUGACGGUCGCAGCUAGCGCACUGUCACGACGGAGCACAUUCUGAGCAAAAGGCUCAGGUUAUAUUUUUGGACUGCCAUGGAGACUGGCCCUUCCAUAUGUAGGAAGGGAGUAUAGUUGUGCUCAACAUGAGCCUCCCGCUCUGACAAUUUGGGCCGGGACAAGCAGGCAGCUGCCGGCCGACCCCCAAGUAGCAGUCACACAGGGGACUCCCCUGUCGGGAGUGCGUUGGUCAACGGUAAGAAGCAUAACCUGGUAAGCUCAAUUAUGUAAUAGUUUUAGAUUUUUACUGAUUAUGUGAUUAACUCAUAUGUGCAUGUUUUUUAGGGGUUGGGAGAUGGUGGACACCAAGAAGCCAUUGUGUGAUGCAUGGUUUUAUUGCUAGGCUAUUAUUACCCUUUCCUCUUUUGAACUUGCAUCUUGGAGGUGCUCCAAAUGCCUAACCUACAAGAGCCUUAAAAGGAUGACCUCCUCUCAUGUUGCAGGUCCAGUCUGUCUUACUGUUGCAGUGGGCCCUUUAAAACAUGAUCAGUGGUGGACUGCAUUUGAGUUUGACUAGUAGAGGCCAAAAACAUACAAACCUACAUGGAAAAACCAUUUAAGUGGAAAGGGAUUAAGUGAAAAACCAUUUAAGUGAAAGACGGAAUGCUGUGAGAGAACUAUAAUAUCCUGAUUUGUAGGCCUAUCACAUUGCAUUAAAAUCUAAAUACAACUAUCAAGGUUUAAACUUUUAAAGGUUUACAGCCAUCAAGGUUUAAAUAGAUAUGAGUCAAAAUCUUCCAAUUAUAGAAUGUGUUUACUGUGCAUAAAAAAACCUCACAUCACAAUGACCACUAGUGACAUCACUGGGGUCAAAUGCUCAAUGUUCACUUUCACUCUUAGUUAAUGCUUGAACCUAUAGGUUGCAGGCCAAGUGUGUCUGCCAGUCAGACCUCACAGUGUCAAAGCAAAAGUAUCUAACUGCACUGUAGUUUAAAAGUUUGAAAAGGUGGAUUUGUAUAGGUCACUUAAUUCCUGCUCAUGUUCAGUAUACCCACAGGCACACGUGUCAGAUUGUUAUGUGCAGUACAGUGAUUGGACCCA
rnacentral:lncRNA from 1 species